rnacentral:tRNA from 1 species
GCGCCCUUAGCUCAGUUGGAUAGAGUGUUGGUUUCCGAAGCCAAAGGUCAGUGGUUCGAAUCCACUAGGGCGCGCCA